rnacentral:rRNA from 1 species
GAUGAACGCUGGCGGCGUGCCUAAUACAUGCAAGUCGAGCGAACAGACGAGGAGCUUGCUCCUCUGACGAUAGCGGAGGACGGGUGAGUAACACGUGGAUAACCUACCUAUAAGACUGGGAUAACUUCGGGAAACCGGAGAUAAUACCGGAUAAUAUAUUGAACCGCAUGGUUCAAUAGUGAAAGACGGUUUUGCUGUCACUUAUAGAUGGAUCCGCGUCGCAUUAGCUAGUUGGUAAGGUAAUGGCUUACCAAGGCGACGAUGCGUAGGCGGCCUGGGAGGGGGACCGGCCACAAUGGGCCUGCUGUACGGCCCAGACUCCUACGGUAGGCAGUAGUGGGGAAUAUUGCAAAAUGGUCGCAAGCCUGAUGCAGAGACGCCGCGUGGGGGAUGACGUCCUUCGGGUUGUACACUCCUUUCGAUAGGGAAGAAGCGCAAGUGACGGUACCUGGAGAAGAAGCACCGGCUAACUACGUG